AGCGAACGCUGGCGGCAGGCCUAACACAUGCAAGUCGAACGAAGUCUUCGGACUUAGUGGCGGACGGGUGAGUAACACGUGGGAACGUACCUUUUGGUUCGGAACAACUCAGGGAAACUUGAGCUAAUACCGGAUGAGCCCUUAGGGGGAAAGAUUUAUCGCCGAAAGAGCGGCCCGCGUUAGAUUAGCUAGUUGGUGAGGUAAAGGCUCACCAAGGCUACGAUCUAUAGCUGGUCUGAGAGGAUGAUCAGCCAAACUGGGACUGAGACACGGCCCAGACUCCUACGGGAGGCAGCAGUGGGGAAUCCUGCGCAAUGGGCGAAAGCCUGACGCAGCCAUGCCGCGUGAAUGAUGAAGGUCUUAGGAUUGUAAAAUUCUUUUACCAGGGACGAUAAUGACGGUACCUGGAGAAAAAGCCCCGGCUAACUUCGUGCCAGCCGCCGCGGUAACAC
rnacentral:rRNA from 1 species